UCUGCUUGCUUUCAUAAUAAAACUUAAACACCCAACAAAUGUUGAAUAGUUCAUGAGUUUUUUUUGGUCUUCAUUAUUUUAUUUUUUCCUUCUUUUAUUUAUUUUAAAAUUCUUAUCUCCAUAACUUAUACCUAAUUGAACUUUUACUUUAAUUAAUAUUAUUAACUCUUUUUCUUUAAAUUUUUAUAUUCAUAACCCCCAACUAUUUAAUUUCAAAAUUUAAGAUACCUUAUGAUAUUAAUUUCUUCAAUUUUGUCUAUAUAAAGUCAUUGUUUUCAUUAGAUUCCUACUCAAGAUUAUUAUUUUUAUUCCAUAUUUGAAAUAGUGAUAUUCGAUAUUAUUGUUAUAGUAUCAGAUUUAUACUUUAGUUUGACUCCAUGAAAAGUAUAC
rnacentral:lncRNA from 1 species